CACAUGCAAGUCGAACGGNAGCACGGAGGAGCUUGCUCUCUGGUGGCGAGUGGCGUAACGGGUGAGUAAUAUAUCGGAACNUGUCCAAUAAUGGGGGAUAACGAGUCGAAAGAUUCGCUAAUACCGCAUACGCCCUACGGGGGAAAGCAGGGGAUCGUAAGACCUUGCGUUAAUGGAGCGGCCGAUAUCUGAUUAGCUUGUUGGUGAGGUANAGGCUCACCAAGGCGACGAUCAGUAGCUGGUUUGAGAGAACGACCAGCCACACUGGAACUGAGACACGGUCCAGACUCCUACAGGAGGCAGCAGUGGGGAAUUUUGGACAAUGGGGGCAACCCUGAUCCAGCCAUUCCGCGUGAGUGAAGAAGGCCUUCGGGUUGUAAAGCUCUUCCGCAGGGAAGAAAACUUAUGAUCGAAUAAUUCAUGAGGUNGACGGNNCUUNGNAAGAAGCACCGGCUA
rnacentral:rRNA from 1 species